GUAGGGUGCGAGCGUUGUCCGGAAUUAUUGGGCGUAAAGGGCUCGUAGGCGGUCUGUUGCGUCGGGAGUGAAAACUCAGGGCUUAACCCUGAGCCUGCUUCCGAUACGGGCAGACUAGAGGUAUGCAGGGGAGAACGGAAUUCCUGGUGUAGCGGUGAAAUGCGCAGAUAUCAGGAGGAACACCGGUGGSGAAGGCGGUUCUCUGGGCAUUACCUGACGCUGAGGAGCGAAAGUGUGGGAAGCGAACAGGAUUAGAUACCCUGGUAGUCCACACCGUAAACGUUGGGCGCUAGGUGUGGGACUCAUUCCACGAGUUCCGUGCCGCAGCUAACGCAUUAAGCGCCCCGCCUGGGGAGUACGGCCGCAAGGCUA
rnacentral:rRNA from 1 species